GAAAUGCGAUAAGUAAUGUGAAUUGCAGAAUUCAGUGAAUCAUCGAAUCUUUGAACGCAUCUUGCGCUCCCUGGUAUUCCGAGGAGCAUGCCUGUUUGAGUGUCAUUUAAAUUCUCAACCAUGAACAACUCUUGUUGCAUCGUGGCUUGGAUGUGGGGGGUCAUAUUGCAGGCUUUUCAAGUCUGCUCCCCUGAAAUGCAUUAGUAGUAUCUGAGCAGAAACUACAAGGUGUGAUAAUUUAUCUAUUGCCUUCAGUAGUAUGCUGCAAAAAAACAAACCAGAUCACACUGCUUCCAACAAUGAAAAAGUGGAUUUUAACCGACCACAUUUUUCUUUUGAUAAAUUUGACCUCAAAUCAGGUAGGACUACCCGCUGAACUUAA
rnacentral:misc_RNA from 1 species